AAUAGAUACCCAGGUAGCCCACGCCGUAAACGGUGGGUACUAGGUGUGGGUUUCCUUCCUUGGGAUCCGUGCCGUAGCUAACGCAUUAAGUACCCCGCCUGGGGAGUACGGCCGCAAGGCUAAAACUCAAAGGAAUUGACGGGGGCCCGCACAAGCGGCGGAGCAUGUGGAUUAAUUCGAUGCAACGCGAAGAACCUUACCUGGGUUUGACAUGCACAGGACGCUGGUAGAGAUAUCAGUUCCCUUGUGGUCUGUGUGCAGGUGGUGCAUGGCUGUCGUCAGCUCGUGUCGGGAGAUGUUGGGUUAAGUCCCGCAACGAGCGCAACCCUUGUCUCAUGUUGCCAGCACGUGAUGGUGGGGACUCGUGAGAGACUGCCGGGGUCAACUCGGAGGAAGGUGGGGAUGACGUCAAGUCAUCAUGCCCCUUAUGUCCAGGGCUUCACACAUGCUACAAUGGCCGGUACAAAGGGCUGCGAUGCCGUGAGGUUAAGCGAAUCCUUUAAAGCCGGUCUCAGUUCGGAUCGGGGUCUG
rnacentral:rRNA from 1 species